rnacentral:lncRNA from 1 species
UGGAUCGUCUCUCAAGUCAUUCCCUUUGGUUGCUUACAAUCCACCACGCUUCCCUGCAAGUUCACGCCCUCGUGAACGGAAGCUGAGAGCCACAACUCUCCCGAGAGCCCCGCUCUCUUGACACCCUACCCCUCGGGUCGAGCCCAGCGGGAGCAAACUGGACCAGCCAGAUGUCAAUCAAUAUGUGGUGUGAUUCCCUUAGCCAACCAACAGAGUCGGACCUGAGACCCC